rnacentral:rRNA from 1 species
UACAUGGGGUGCAAACGUUGCUCGGAAUUAUUGGGCGUAAAGCGCGCGUAGGCGGUUACUCAAGUCGGAUGUGAAAGCCCUCGGCUUAACUGAGGAAGUGCACCCGAAACUGAGUAGCUAGAGUACUAAAGAGGGUCGCGGAAUUCCCGGUGUAGAGGUGAAAUUCGUAGAUAUCGGGAGGAACACCGGUGGCGAAGGCGGCGACCUGGGCAGAUACUGACGCUGAGGCGGCGAAAGCUAGGGGAGCAAACAGG